AUAAAUUAAAAUUUUGGAUCCAGUGGGCUCUACUGAGGAAGCACCAUAUAGCGCCUGUCAUGCAGAAAAAGGGGAAAGUUUUUAAUAUCUCCAGUAUUGCCAAUAUACUCUGGAUGAUUCCUGGAAUUUGCAUCCAAAAAUUAUUUUCUCAAUCUUUGCACAUGUAUGUGUUUCUUUCAGGGUUGGAAUCCCCACAGAGACAAGGAGACUGUUGUUCUAAGACGUAAGCUGAAACAUUAGGAAGAACAUCCUGAUGAUUACUACAAAAAGGACAGACUUGCCUAUGAAGAGUCAAGACUGUGAGAAACAAAGCCUCCAUAAGUAGAAAUACCCACCACAAGAAUGUUGUAUAUCAGGAAACAGAGAGAGGAAACAAGCUUCAAUUUCUUGAUGGCAAAGAAGACUAAUGAAUCCAGCCAACACUGAAGAUUAAUGGCAAAUUAACUGAGGCAUUCUAUCUCCAAAUAUCAAGCAAAUGACCAAAAAAAGGCAGGGCUGAAAACAAAAUGAAACUUUGCAAAUAAUCUUGGAAGGAGACGUUGUGCAAUCAAAGAGAGAGAUGGUAUGGUUUCUGCCCUACAGUCCCAAAGAUAAGAUAAUGAGAUAUUUCCCCUUCACUUCCCAAGUGUGAUGAACCUUUUCUAGUGAAGACUACUAGAAUACCAAUCCAUGUAGUUACUCUGCGUAACAGCAUCUCUCCAAUGUCUCAGCAAUUCGCACAUCCCAAGCAGCAAUUCAAGAACUAGAGACAUUAGAGACAGAAUCUGGAAACUUAUG